CUGGGGGUGAUGAGGCGAAGGCGGUGGCUGUUGGGGCAGGGAGCCUGGGGAAGGGGGGGCGGCGUCAGGGAGCUGGGAGAGGAGUGGCUGGACCAGCUGCCACGCUCUGGACCCUGUGGCCUCCACCUGCAGCAGGGAACCAAACCCGCAACCCUAGCCGGGCAAGUGCCCUGACCGGGAAUCGAACCGGCGACCUCCUUUUGGUAUACAGGACCAUGCCCAACCAACUGAGCCACCGUGUCCAGGGCCAGCCUGCUUCUUGUAGGUGCCGUACGUGGGCCUAGGAAUCCCUGGAGGAUGGAGAGAUGGAGGCACAGAGAGGUUAAGUCACAUGCCUGAGGUCACACAGCCCUGACAGGAGAGGUCGGGGCAGUCUGGCUGCAGGGAAGGAGCCCUUAACCCCGAAGCUUCACUGCACUUUUCUUGACUAAGGCAAAAAAGACACGGGUUUGAGCUGGAUAAUGUUUGCUCUGCCUGGAAGGAAAGGACCGGCAGCAAAGUGGGCUUCCUGCCAGGACGGCGCAUGGAGGCAGGUGUCUGGAGCCGUUCAUUCGUGGAGGCGCUGAGGAAGUGGCUCCCUCCGCUCCCCGCUUGCACCCCGGUGCCCGGGUGCUCAGCUUGGCUCCGGCUGCCCUGAGAUAACCCUGCCUGUCCUCGCUGGUCCGGAACGCCAAGUAGCUUCCUCCAAAGCACACGGGACAGCAGUUAAAAAUAAAGCGAGAACGGGCCGUCAGAAACCAUAGAGGAAGGAAGGAGGCAAGUCUAUCAGGAACCUGGGGGAGAAGAGUGACUGGGGGAGGACGAGUACAGACCUGGCCUUACAGUUAGCCCGAGCUUCCGGCCCCCCUCCCACUGUGCCCCCCCCCACUCCCUGCAAAGAGGAGGCUGUCCGAAUAAAUGCGUGGUUCAAAAAGGAAGUGCAUCAGGUUUUCAGGAAAGUGGAGCUUCCAAAGGAGCCAGGGCCUGGAAGCUGUUUGACAGCGGUGUGGCUCCGCUCCAAAACGACCCAGCCUCUCUCCGCCCCAGUGUUCUUCUCCGUCCAGGGCCAACGGUCAGUUUUACCUGGUGGAGCUGCGGCGGGUCGCACAGCACGAUACCUAUUCCGUGACGAGUUCUUUCGGAUGAUGCGGAAACA